rnacentral:lncRNA from 1 species
GUGUGUGGGCAAAUUGGAAGAGGAGGCCAGGGGGUGCAGACCGGUGGCAGAGGUUGGGGAGCAUUCGCCCUCGAUGCCCGAGUCCCAUUCCUAGGGAUCCCCAGUGUUGUUCUUUCUUGGCCAGGGCCAGGGUGGCAGGAGGGUAAGGGUCUUGGUAGGGGCUGCCCGGCCUCAGGAUCGCUGCAGGGAGUGAGGGAGGGAGGAAGCGAGGGGAAGCGGGUCCGGGACCGGAGGGCGGCGCUCGAGGGAAACUGGGCAGCCCCGGGCUUUGGGGUCCUCCGCGCCUCGCCCACCUCUCUCGUGCAGGCUCUGCUCCGGGCCGGAGCUUCGGGCCACAAGGGUGCGUCGGGCCUGCGCUGUCCCCGCCGCGGCCCUCCCCGCCCCGCCGCCCUUCCCGGCGGCGCGGCCGCCCGAGCCCCCUCCCUUGCAGCGCGCUGCGCGCUCCGCCAGGGCCGCCGCCGCCGCCGCGUGCUCCUGCUGUCUCUUCGCUCCAGCCGAGCGAGCCAGAGGAGCCGGCGAGAGGGAGAGAGAAAGGGGGAGGAGAGAGGCGAGAGAAAGAGAGAGAGAGAGGGCGGCAGCGAGGCAAGAGCGAGCGCCGAGCCUCCUAGGACAGCGGCCCCUCCGCGGUCCCAGCCGCUCGCGUGGUCGGAGGAGACGCGGUCGCCGCCGCCUCCUGAGCCCGGCCCCGCGAUCUCCUCGCCGCCGGCUCGCCGGUGCCCGCGCGGCCCCGGGACGCCGCUGCCCGCUCGGCGGCCGGGAUGCAGCCGGGGCAUGGCCGCCGGGCCCCUGUCACCUGCCGCGGGGAGCGCUGAGCCCAUUGGAAAGCUGCCUCUGAGACUCUGAAGGUUUUCCUGCUGAUACUCGCUCCUUCCCAGUAACCCUCCAUCCCAAGGGGAGCCCCAGAAAGAACACCAGGGGGGCCUCCCUGCUGCCACAGAACCACCUCACCCGCCACUCCAGGUAAGGCCGCGCCUGCCCGCCACCACACCUGUCCUCAGAGUUUGCAUUUGUGAUGGAAAAACAUCUUAAUGAGGAGAUUUUAUUUUACAUGAGGGAACGACAGGGACGUUCUUUUGCUGGCUCUAGUUUGCAGAUUGUGGGGUCUUCUGUGUCUUCAGGGAGAAGGACAGGGAGAAUCGCAGAACCGCAGGAAUGCCUUGGGUGGGAUUUUGUAAGAAGUGGCUACUGAAAUCUGUCAGCCUGGCGGGAGUGGUUAUUCCAGGAAGGAGGGUGGACAGGGCGCUCAGUUCACUGUCUAGUGUCAGCACGAAAUGCCACGGUGGCCAAGGUGGGGGUCUGACCCUCCCUUGCAUGGCUCCGUGCACUUUCCCCUGUGGCCCAGGGAUGGGAUCUGAUGCCUUCAUCUGGCUCUAGAGGGAACUCAUGAUUGCCGCACUCCCUCCCCCAGUGGCUGGACUGUACUUCAACCCUGGCACUCGCCGCCUAGAGUUAUUGGCAGGCCUCACAGGCUUAGGGCCUGUCCCCUGCAAGACUGCCCCACUUUUAGCUGCAGAUCUCAAGGACGUUUGCACUCCUGACCAAGUGGUUGCAAAUUCACAGGUUCCCACAACUGCCUCAGUUUUGAUAAUUUGCUAGUACAACUUGCAGUACUCAAAGUGCUGUGCUUUCCAUGAAUCUUGGGAAGAUAAUUCUUGCUGCCUCCGUGAAGGAGGUUGCAGGGCCCAGCUGCCUCGCCUUUCUGUGGGUUUGAGAACCAGUAUUCUCCUAAAACAGUAAGUGUUUGGUGUUGUGGAAGUUGA